rnacentral:rRNA from 1 species
AUUGCACGCUGGCGGCGGGCCUAACACAUGCAAGUCGAACGAGUGGCGGACGGGUGAGUAAUGGCUGGGAAACUGACCGAUGGAGGGGGAGAACUCCUGGAAACGGUAGCUAAUAACGCAUACCAUCGGAUGUGCCCAGAUGGGAUUGGCUAGUAGGUGGGGUAACGGCUCACCUAGGCGUCGAUCCCUAGCUGGUCUGCGAGGAUGCCCAGCCACACUGGAACUGAGACACGGUCCAGACUCCUACGUGAGGCAGCAGUGGGGAAUAUUGCACAAUGGGCGCAAGCCUGAUGCAGCCAUGCCGCGUGUAUGAAGAAGGCCUUCGGGUUGUAAAGUACUUUCAGCGAGGAGGCGUUACUCGCAGAAGAAGCACCGGCUAACUCCGUGCCAGCCGCCGCGGUAAUUC